GCACUGUUGAGGACUCCCAAAAUAGGACGAAACGGCCGUCCAGUGC
rfam:Schistosoma mansoni strain Puerto Rico chromosome 7, complete genome